UGCGAUAUAGCUUAGCAGCAUAGCAUCUGCCUGGCAAGCAUAAGGUCCUGAGUUCAAUUCCUGGUACUGUAA
rnacentral:tRNA from 1 species